AGAGGACGCGUGGUCUGGAUACAGCUUGGCGCUGGCGCAGGUGCUGAGUGUGUUUGAGGAGAUUUCACUUAAAAGCACACUAGAUCAGAUCAAGGAGAAACACAACCUGCAGACAGCCAAGAAGAAACAGAUCUGAAAUGUUGCGUUUGGGAAUUUCUUUGGAGUGCUGGCCUUGUCUCAGUCCAUACGACUACACAAGGAGCCACAGGUGCUGUUGGAGUGUGUUAAGCUGUUACAGAGUCUGGCUCAGUACAGGGAUCACCUGAGAGACCUGCCCAGGAAGACCAUGGUGGACAUCCUGAGUGAGGU